GUGAAAAAAAAAGGGGGGUUAAAUUUUUCUCAUUUCAGAUUUCAUAAAUAAAAAGAAAAUUUCUUUAAACAUUUUUUUGAGAGGAUUAAUAUUCAACAGCAUAGUGAAUUGCUCAAAGGCAAAAAAAUAUUUUAAGUUCAUUAGACCACAUUCAUUCUGUGUCAGAAACCUAUGCUGUGUCAACUAUUUAAUCACAAUCCAAAUUUAGAGCUGAAUCCAGCUUGAAUGUUGUGUCCAUACUUGCCCCAAGCGUUCAGGGUUCAACCUCUGCGGUCGGAUAAAGCUGCA
rnacentral:lncRNA from 1 species